GUAGGGAAUAUUGGGCAAUGGAGGCAACUCUGACCCAGCCAUGCCGCGUGCAGGAAGACGGUCCUCUGGAUUGUAAACUGCUUUUGAAUGGGAAGAAACGUAGCUUUGCGAAGCUAUUUGACGGUACUAUUAGAAUAAGCACCGGCUAACUCCGUGCCAGCAGCCGCGGUAAUACGGAGGGUGCAAGCGUUAUCCGGAUUUAUUGGGUUUAAAGGGUGCGUAGGCGGCUUUAUAAGUCUGGGGUUAAAGGCGGCAGCUUAACUGUACGCAUGCCCUGGAAACUGUGAAGCUUGAGUGACUUGGAGGUAGCUAGAAUUCCCUGUGCAGCGGUGAAAUGCAUAGAUACGGGGAGGAAUACCGAUUGCGAAGGCAUGUUACUACGAGUAAACUGACGCUGAUGCACGAAAGCGUGGGGAUCAAACAGGAUUAGAAACCCGUGUAGUCC
rnacentral:rRNA from 1 species